UUCCUUUCCAGGAGUGGGGGUGUGGGGUGGGCAGGAUGAUGGAUAAGAGGUGUGGUGUCCUCACUCUCUCUGCUCUCUCCACAUACCCAAGGGGAAGAGGAAGUGUUAGACUCAUCUGUUCUCCCUCAUGGGGUAGCUCAGGGUUUCACAAAGUGUGUUCUGUGAGGCAUAAAGGAUCAAGAAGUGAUAAAAAAAAAUUCCAUGAAAAAAUCAUUAUUUUGAUAAAUAAAUUAAGGAAAGACUAGAUUAAACAAAGUUAAAUGGUUCCUCACUGCAGGGUCUCUCUGAGUCUUUAGUUUGAUGCUGUGUAUUACGCACUCACUUGAGGGGCUAUGGCAUGAAGAAAUUUUCAAACUUAUUGGACCUAAAAACCCAUUUUUUAUGAACAACCAAGAAUAUGUCUUAGAACACUAGGAUUCCCAGGAAUCAUUUUGUAAACUGUUAAUAUGUGGGGGAUUUGCCUUUCAAAGAGGACUCCCCACAAGAAGGGAGUAAUGUUUACUGCUACAGGAUUUAUGCCAUGCUAUGGUUUCAAUGUUUGUGUCCCCCCAGUUUCUAUGUUGAAAUCCUAAUCCUCAAAGUGAUGGUAUUAGAAGGUGGGGCCUUUGGGAGGUGAUUAAGUCAUGGGUCUGGAGCUCUCAUGAAUAUUAGUGCCUUUAUAAAAGAGGCCACAGAGAGCUAGCUAGCCCCUUCCACCAUGUGAAGAUACAUGAGAAGGGGCUAUAUAUGAGCCAGAAAGAGGCUCUCACUAGACACCAAACCUGCGGGUGCCAUGAUCUUGGGUUUCCCAGACUCUAGAACUAUAAAGAAAUCAAUUUCUGUUUGUAAGCCACCCAGACUAAGACAUUUUGUUAUAGCAGCCUCAAUGGACUGAGACAUGCUACCAUACAGAAUUUCAGUUAUCAGUGGGCAGUUGGGGGAAUUCUUCCAACAGCCUCAGAAUGUCCGCUUUUCCCCAUUGGGCUUAAGAGGGAAGUUGAGAGAGGGCUUCCGAGUACAGUCCUAUGAGCAAAAACUCAGACAUCUUUGAGCGAUAGAAGAGACAACUGGGCCGGGGGCCAGUUCAGUGCGGACCUACAUUUCAACCACCAUGAUGAAGGUUUGGGGCUGUUAUGAUCACAUUUGCCUUUUACUUCUCAUAAUACUGAGAUAUACCUGUGAGAAUACAGCUGUGCUAGAGAAGCCAGGACUGAGAAGUAAUUUAAUAUUCAUCCUUAAGUGUCAGGAAGGUUAUUAUGGGAAGGAAGGUGACAAGCUACUCCUCCCUGAGCUCAGAGCAUGAAGAGAUGGAUGUGAACCUCUACAAAUGAGACUUAGGUUACAGUCAUGGAAGACAUAGUGAGCUUCAUCUGAGUCCUGUUCUCCAGCCUGUCUUGGACACUGUACCCCCCAUCUGUUAGUAGAGUGGCAACGUGGUCUAGAAAGAGCACUGGGCAAGGAACCCCGGAGUCCUGUAGAGACCUUUUAGCUGCCAUGACCUUAGACAUGCCAGAUGUGUCCAUUUAUGGAUCUCAUUUUCUUCUCUUUUUUAAAUAAGGAAGGUCAUGGUUUAUGGUCUCUGAGCUUCUUCCUUCUACUUCAACCACUGGUUCUAUGCUAAGUCUAAGUGUUGGAAUGUAGAUACUCUUGAGUGUCUUCCUAAGCCUGAAUCAGUUGUCUGUAACCCAGGUCGAUAUACUAGCUGCUGUAGCAAACAAAUCUCAAAACAUACAAUGGCCCAUGCAUGGUAGAAAUUUACUUCUUGUUCACAAAAGGUCUAAAAUGUGUUUCCCUAAUGAGCACGCCAUUUUCCUCCAAGUGGUGAUACAGGGAAGCAGGAUCUUUCCUGUUUGAGGUUCUUACAUCUUAGGUACUUGGCUCCAAGGGAGCCAUGCUCAUUUACAUCGAGCUGGUGGAAGAGGAAAAAGCACUAGGCAAUUGAGCCUGAGAGAUUUUUAAGGACUGACUAGGAAGGGUGUGCAUUAUUUCCGGUCAAAUUCCACUGGUGAGAAAUCACUCACAUAGAAACAUCUAAAUACAGGAGAGCCUGGGAAAGGUAGUUCAGCUCCGUGCCCAGGAAAAAGAGGAAAUGGAUUUAGCCAAUAGGAAUCAAUCUGUGCCAUAGAGAGGAGAGUUUAAAGGAGAAAGUAUUAUGUGAAUUGAAGAAGAGUAAGAUUGAGGUAAUGUUAAUUAUCUUCCUCUUUCUGAAGAGCUAGAAGUCCUCAGCUGCUGAAGGAUGGCAGGGCCUGGGCUUAAAAAUGUUUUCUGGCCCACAAGGAAGAGCCAUGAGCAAAGACUCAAGAUGCACUAGAUUCUAGUUUGGUUGUCUCAAACUAGCUAUGGGACUGAAUAUAAUUUAUCUGACCAUUGUGCUUACAGUUUCCUCAUCUGUCAAUGGUAACCAAAAUGCAUACUCUAACUACCUAACAGAAUUGUUUUAAAAGUCAGGUAUAGCAACAUCAUGCACAUUUUGUAAAAACAAAACAAUGAUUAAAAUAGAGAAUGAGUUUAAAUUGCAGAUGGAGAAAAUUAAAUUGGGUAAGGAAAAAAGAAACAACUUUCCCCAUAGUGAAACAGGGAAAAUUUUUAGAGAAUGUGCAAAUAACUUCAAGAAAUCAGUGGGAAACAAUUUUGACAAGAGUGGAAAGAAAACUCCAACUGGAAAGAUAGCUUGUGGGGGUCAGCACAGGAGACGUGGACUGUGGUUCUGGCACUACACGCAGAUUGCUGUUUGACCUUGACUGAGUCUCUUCCCCUCUUGGGGCUUCAGUUUCCCCUUUGUGAAACAAAAGCAUUGAACUAAAUAAUCUUGCUAGGGUCUCAUUCUCAAAUGUUAUACUUCUGAUUGUGCGCUCAAUCCUGUCUGGAUUCAAGGAUCCAAAAGGCUUUAAGACACAGUCAAUUGCCAGGCUGGCAUUUCAACAUGGAUGUCCAAAAGGCAUCUCCAGCCUCUCAUGUGCAUCCAAAGCCUUAGGUUGUCUUCCUUUCCCAGAAGGUUCCUCCUGCGGCACAGCCUUCCACACUUCAGGAAAAGGGCGGCUACUCUGGGGGUCCGCCUUUAUCCUCAGUGCCGCACACAGCCUGCAAUCCAUCAACCAGCAUGUCCCGUCACUCCGCCUUCAAAUCUCACCUCCUUCCUGCCAUCAGCUCGCACCUGUGCUGUGCACCUGCCUCACAAGGGCUCUCCUUGAGCCCACUCUCACCGCUCUCCAUCUGUUCCUCACUCAGUCGUCAGGGUGAGCUCUUUAUCCUUUCCUUCAUUCAAAAUCUCCCAAUGGCUUCUCGUCGCAUUGGGAAUAAAAUCAAAAUCCUUGCCUUGGCCUGCGCAGGUUCUUGACCUCACUUGUAGCUCUCUCCUGCUUCUCCUGACCACCCCCGCUUUGGCCGUAGCCAGUUUGGCUGCUUUUCAGCAUGUGGGGCUCAGUUUGGUCUCACGGCCAUUGCACUUGCUGUGUUUGGGGCACUUUCCUUCCAGAUCUUCUUCCGGUUCCUUCCUUUGCUCCAUUCCCAUCUCAAUUCAGAGGUCCCUUCUUUCAGGAGGCUUCCUUCUCUAGCUCCUAAUCCAUUGACCUCUAGUUCUCCAUCCUUCUCUAGCUCCUAAUCUAUUGAUCUCUCUCUCUCACCCUCACCCUGACUUAUUUCUCCUUAAGGCACUUAUCACUCCCUGACAUUAUUUUAUUUCUUUAUUUGCGUAUUUUCUGUCUCUCUCCACUAAGAUGUGAACUCCAUCAGUGCAGAAACUUUUCCUGUCUUGUGUACAACUGUAUCCCUUGUGACGUCUUGUAAGCAUUCAAUAAAUGUUAACUAAAUGAGUGAAUGAAUCAAGGAGGAGAAACUGACCAUAGGGCCUCUGCAGAGCAGCAAACAUUCUUCCACAAAUGGAGGAGAGCUGGGGACUUGGUUUUCUGGCCAGAGGUGAAGCUGGCCCAUCCCCCUCCAGCCUGGAGUGCAGGCAUUUGUGCAGGGCAUGGGUCUCUGACACUGCGAGCCAGUUGUCUCUGCCCCAUGGCUCUGAUCAGAUCCAGGCACUUGGGGUUCUGUGCUUCUCUGCUUUUCUCUUUUUAGGCGGUACUUGGCUGACCUCCCAGGGGGUAUAGCUGGCUUCUUCUCUAAGCCACUUGUUCUUGCUGUUAAGAAAUGACUAAGCAGAUUCUCCAUCUCCUGGUAGCCAGCUGCCAGCCUGCGAGACUUGAUGCUUUUCUGAAAGAGGGCCCUUCUUUUGCUCUGUGUUCAGAGAAAGCACGAAGCAGACAUCACCAUCAUUGCCUCCUUUGCAAUGGCCUGACUCACCUCCUCUUGGUGUGUGGCUCUAGGCUGACCCCCACAAGGAAGAGGGAGGCAGAAAUUGGUAUGAUUACUACCCUCAGGACUCAGCGUCCAAGUCCUGCUGGAUAUUAGAGAAUGACUGGUUGAGAAUAUUCAGAUGGUGACCUAAUCAUACCGGCACCAUUUUUACUGACAGAUUGCUAAGUGCCAGGCAGCAUGCUAACCUCCCUAGGUACCUUAGCUCAUUUGAUUCUUGCAAUCACCUUGUGAGGUAAGUACUGUGACUUUAUAGGUGAGGAAAUGGAGGCAAAGGAAAGUUGAGGAACUUGCCCAAGGUCAUAUGGCUCAGCAGCGGCGGCUGCAUAGAAGCACAGGACCCUGUUUUCAAUAUGCUUGCCUGUCUUGUCCAGGGUGCUUCUACACAGUGCUGCACAGGCAGCUCCUAAAGCUGCGUGCAGCAGGAGCACAAAGAAAACCCCAAGUAAUUCUUCCGAGGGUCUCUGCCGCCACCUCCUUAGUUUACUUCAGGAAGACCUCUGCCAAGUUCAGUGUGAAAUUAACAAAUUUAAUGUGAAAAACUGGUUUAGAAGUGAAAUGGAUUGUGGACUACUGGGUAUAAAUAAAACUAGAAAGAACUUUGCAGAAUCAUUUAUACGUUGACAUUUAUUGCAAAUCAUCAGGAGAGUGGUGUAUCAAACUGUCAUUCCUAAGUUUAAUUGACCAGGGAAUAUGUUUUUUUUUCCCCUUAGGAGUAUCUUAGGGGCUAGAGUUCCAAGAACACUCUUCAGAAAUUGCUGAACUGUGCAGAUAUACCCACUGACCUAUAAAGAUGCCUUGGGCAUUCCUCUUUCUAUUCCUUUGCCCACCCCACUUUCUCCAUCUGGAAUCCAUCCUCUGUCUGUCCAUAGAUCCGUCCAUCCAUCCAGUAAACAUCUACUGUGUUCCAGGCACUAUACAAGGUGCUUUCUCCUAAGUCAUCUUGUUAAUUUUUGCCACAGCCCCAUUCCAUAGAUAAAGAGGUGAUAGAGACAGGAGACAGACAAGGGUCCCUGGCGAAAACCCACCUAAAACCUAAAACAAUCCUGAAGGCUGAAAAACCGGACUGCUGGUCCUGGAUGAAGUCCACCCUUUCCUGAUUGGUUCUGUCUGAAUAAUGCGCACCAAAGGAAGCAGGUGGAGCAGGGAGGAGGAGUCUGGCCUCUUCAGUUCCUAUGUAGUGGCCUGGGAUUCAGUCUGCAAGGUGCGGGCCUGCUAGCAGGACUCUCUCGCUUUGCUGAGAGUUCCUCUUUCCUUUUUCCUUUUUCACCCAAUAAACCCUUCCUCGCAUCUCACCCUACAAUGUGUCCGUGAGCCUAAAUUUUCCGAGUAGUGUGAAAAGAACCUGUUUUUUUUUCCUGCAACAGAGGCAACAUAUCAGCAGACCACAAAGCUGGACAGUGAAAGGGCUGGGAUUAGAAUCCAAAUUUCCCAAUCCGGAUUCCAGAUUGUUUUUUCUUCUAUUCUUCAGUUUUUUGUCCUGUAGUUGCUUAUUCAUAUUUUCUCAAUUUGUCAAAAUCCUAACUCAAACUUCGUUUCCUUCAGAAAUUCAUGUUUCCCUUUCUUCCUAUGUGCUAUGCACAGAGAAACUUCUCCGUCUUCUAAACCCCCUCCAGACCAUCUCUAUCCAGAUUUGGCACCCACUUCAUCAGGUUCCCGGUUAAGAAGUGAGUGUGUGUGUGUGGGUGUCUUGGAUCUCCAGUGGUGUGUAAGCCAAGCACUUGGCACACAUCAUCUUUACUUGACACAUCAGCCUUGUGGGAGAGGUACCAUUACACUCAUUUUGUAGAUGACAGAACUGAUGCACGACGAGGUUCAGGCACUUGCCCAACAUCACCAAGCAAGUCAGUGAUGAAGCUAGGAUUUGAGCCUCAGUCUUCUGGCCCCAGAAUCCACAUUCCUUCCACUAUUCUAUGCUGAACCCCUUGUUGAGCCCCUAGUUUCAUAGCUGAGAAACUGAGGCCCAUGGAAGGACAGUGGCUAGCCCCGAAUCCCACAGCUGUGAAUAGCCGUGCUAAUACCACGUGCAAAGGCUCACAUCCGGGAACCUUUCUUCUCCAGCAGGCUGCCUCCCCAGGUCUAAUGCAGGUCCCAGCUAUUGCUGCCAGUUGGUUCCUGUUACCUGGAUGCCAUGGAAAUUGUACCUUGUAGCUCUUGAUACAGCAGGAGCCUGGUGGCUGCUCCCUGGGGGAGAGCCAAGGAAGGUCAGAGUACUAGCCUGCAAACCCAGCACCUAAAAUAUACCAGGCAGCAACCCCAGUGGAAACCAGGCAGCAAGCCAAGAGCAUGACAUAACCUUCCCACAGCUCAGGGCUGGAGUCGGCUUCCAGCUCCAAGGUUCCCUGGGUACAGCGCCUAACAGAGCACACGUGCACUUCAGGGCUGCGACUUCUUCCUUUUAUUUUAAAGAAAAUGAGUUUCUUUUACUCUGGUUCUAGAAUUGAGGGCUGGCAGGAAUUGAGGGAGCUAAGAGCCAGGAGACCCUUGGACCAUGGUGGGGAAGGGGCAAGGAAUAGGCUUCAGAUUGCUGGUUUCCCAAUUUGAAUGUUCAUCUGGACACUGGAAGAGCUUUCAAAAGUGAUCCAGGUUUCAUUCCAGACCUACAGAAUCAGAAUCCCUGGGGACAGGGCCUGGGAAUCGGUAUUUGAACAUGUUCUCCAGGUGAGUCUCUUCUGGUUCAGGUUUGUGAACUACCUUCCCAAAUAUGCCUCUUCAUGGCUAUCUCCAUUUGCUGGUAGUCCACCAGAUCUCCAUCUCCCAUCCUCAACUCACACUUAGUACACUUUUUUUUUCACCUGUGAAAUUUAAAUUCUAUAUUGUCCAUUUCCAUAGCUUUGAGGGUUGGUGUGAUAACAGCACUUAAUGGGGGUUUCUGUUAUUUUUUUUUUAAAACAGCAGAUUUUAGGUUUUCUCUUUAAAUGGAAGUUUAGGAGGGGUCUGUUCUGACAGAGGAAUAAGUUCCCUGAGAAUUCACUUUUGAAAAAUUUGGUUGUUUUAGAAGUCUGUCUCUGAGGCCCUUAGUAUCCAAAGGAGUCCGUGAAAGUCAGAGGUUGCCAUGGGAAUGGCAGCUGCCAGGAGACAGGCUAUUGUGUUUAGAUUCUUGUAUUAAUAACACCCUCCCCAGCAGCCAGAAAUACCUGUUGAAAGAGGAGAGGUUCUUUUCUUCUUAUUCAAGAAGAGUUUGGAAAGUUACUUUCCUCUGCCUUGAAGAGGGUCAGGGGUUUGUGGUUAGGUGUACAAGUGACUGUUUUUUCUCCUCUUGCCCAAGGUGAAGCAAGAGAACUCAGUUGGAACCUUGGAUCCUCCUAGCUGAUCAGAAGACUAGAGAGGAAAAACAAACUUAGAUGACUCCUCCUCCAGCAUAUCUAAGGGGGACAAAAGCCAUACUGGCCAUGGGGAGACCCUGGAUGAGUGUUGAUACCAAGCUGACCUGAAUUCCAGGCUCAAGUUGUAGAUGUGUGUUCUCCCCUGGGGAGGAGUUACUUACAAGGAUUCUGGGGAGGUUGUUAGCAGCCUACUUUCCACUUCAGUGGAAAGAGCAUUGGAUUCCAUGCAUCUCCUAGCUGCAUGACAGGGAAAGAAAAGGAAAAAGAGGAGAGGACUAGUUUUAGUUGAAUAUUAUACGUACCACAAGUUAGAUGUUGUGUUAGGUGCAGGGAAAUAAAAAUCACUAAGGCAGAAUUUGUACUUGCAAGGAGUUCUCUGUCUCGAGGCAAGCAUGGAAUCAGAAAUGGCAAGUGGUAGUCAUUUUGUUUGCUGACUGGAUUGCUGUGAUGAGUGUUUUCUGCGGGGAGGAAGGGAUGGAUGUCAUUUGGUAUGUCUGGAUCUAAAUAAACAAUACCAUGAUUUCCACUGCUCAGGAGAGUUGUGUGUGGUGCCCUGUGGAUGGUGCAGGUGAGACGUCCAAAGACAGCAUCGCUCACACUGCUCAGGACGGAUGAGGUACUGAAGGAGGCCAGAUUGGAGGAGCCAGCCUGGGCAGGGCUGUGGCUGUUUCAGGGCAAGAUGGGGCCUCCACGUGAAAAGUAACUACAAAACAGAACCAGAAAAUAGUCAUGCUGUUCAAAUAAAGAGACUGUGGCUCAGAAAAUACAAGCAACUUAUAAAAGAGAAAUAUCUGGACCACAAAGAGUCAACUCAUAGCUUUAUCUAAGGCUCCAGGGCUCUGAAGGUCAUGGGUGAACAAUUUUUUUAAUGAAGGAAAAUAAAUGAAUUAACGUGGUGACUUGUCCAGUUAAGCCAAAGAAGCCACACCAAGUGUUAGAGGACCACAGAGGAACCAGAGAGGAUCUGGGAAACCACCCAGGUGUUCAUUGUCUCCAAAGAGCUAAACCUUGCCUCAGAAAAAUGACCUUCUCCUAUCUUUCCUGCUGCAGCAAGAACCUCUGGUUUAACCAAUUAGGUAAGUCAUUUAUAUGACACUCAAUCUGAAUUAUUCUGUCUGUCUGUCUGUCUAUCAAUUUCUCUAU
rnacentral:lncRNA from 1 species